AUGCGUGUUUGCCUAGUAUAUGGUAAGUGUAUGAGUAACGUAUGGCUACGGAUGGAGCAGCAAAUGCGCGCUCCAGCCCGAGCUAGGCGUAGCGCGGAGGGGAGCGGGCGCGGGCGGCGCGUGGAUGGAUGCGGCAGACCGAAGCGAAGCCCAUGCGCGGCGCGCGCACGGACUGAUGGCCGGCAUCACAACGGUGGUGACGAAGAGGCCGACGGCGAGGAUGCUUUGCCCCUCGCGGCCGCUCCGGGCGCGUGUCGAUGUUGGGCCCCCGAGCGCUACCGGAGAGACGACGGCGACGCCGCGGUGAUGAUGGCGAAAAUGGUGAGGCCGACGGCGAGGACGCGCCGCCCCUCGCGGCCACUCCGGGGCCGUGUCGAUGUCGAGCCCCCGACCGCUACUAGAGGGACGGCGCGACGCCGCGGCGGUGAAGGCGAAAAAUGGUCCCGCCCGGACUGCGAAACCAGCAGCAGCAUGGUAGCAUAG
rnacentral:rRNA from 1 species